GCAUAUCAAUAAGCGGAGGAAAAGAAACCAACAGGGAUUGCCCUAGUAACGGCGAGUGAAGCGGCAACAGCUCAAAUUUGAAAUCUGGCUCUUUCAGAGUCCGAGUUGUAAUUUGCAGAGGGCGCUUUGGCUUUGGCAGCGGUCCAAGUUCCUUGGAACAGGACGUCACAGAGGGUGAGAAUCCCGUACGUGGUCGCUAGCUAUUGCCGUGUAAAGCCCCUUCGACGAGUCGAGUUGUUUGGGAAUGCAGCUCUAAAUGGGAGGUAAAUUUCUUCUAAAGCUAAAUAUUGGCCAGAGACCGAUAGCGCACAAGUAGAGUGAUCGAAAGAUGAAAAGCACUUUGGAAAGAGAGUCAAACAGCACGUGAAAUUGUUGAAAGGGAAGCGCUUGCAGCCAGACUUGCUUGCAGUUGCUCAUCCGGGCUUUUGCCCGGUGCACUCUUCUGUAGGCAGGCCAGCAUCAGUUUGGGCGGUGGGAUAAAGGUCUCUGUCACGUACCUCUCUUCGGGGAGGCCUUAUAGGGGAGACGACAUACCACCAGCCUAGACUGAGGUCCGCGCAUCUGCUAGGAUGCUGGCGUAAUGGCUGUAAGCGGCCCGUCUUGAAACACGGACCAAGGAGUCUAACAUCUAUGCGAGUGUUUGGGUGUCAAGCCCGAGCGCGUAAUGAAAGUGAACGGAGGUGGGAACCCGCAAGGGUGCACCAUCGACCGAUCCUGAAGUUUACGGAAGGAUUUGAGUAAGAGCAUGGCUGUUGGGACCCGAAAGAUGGUGAACUAUGCUUGAAUAGGGUGAAGCCAGAGGAAACUCUGGUGGAGGCUCGCAGCGGUUCUGACGUGCAAAUCGAUCGUCAAAUUUGGGCAUAGGGGCGAAAGGCUAAUCGAACUAUCUAGUAGCUGGUUCUGCGA
rnacentral:rRNA from 1 species